GACAACGGAUAUCUCGGCUCUCGCAUCGAUGAAGAACGUAGCGAAAUGCGAUACUUGGUGUGAAUUGCAGAAUCCCGUGAACCAUCGAGUCUUUGAACGCAAGUUGCGCCCGAAGCCACUAGGUUGAGGGCACGCCUGCCUGGGUGUCACGC
rnacentral:rRNA from 1 species